AGUGUGCUCUGAACCGUGGACAUGAGAGUGUGUGUUUGGGUGCUGCGUGAACUAUUUUUCCUGCGUAAAACACUUUUCCGUACUGGACCAUCCGCGGUGUUCUUUCUGUUUUAUCGGAGGACGAAUUGUUAUCAUCUAAUUGUUUCGGCAAGUGUCCUUUUCUAAGUGUCUAGUGCUAUGUGACAUUUAUUCUAAUUAAAACAUUGCACUUUACAAGUUUCAGACGUGUGCUGCUACCGCUAGCUGUUCCCAAAACCUCUUCAAAUUGCGACACUGUGUGCACAGGCGUUAAUGUUCAAUUGAUCCUCAAGCACAAAGCCUUCAUGCAACACCGCGGUUGAGGCGCGCCAAAUUUGAUGACCUCUUUCCGGAACCAAGCAGGCUAAACACGCGCACCACCAAACGGGCUUCAGCGCGGUGUGAAGAGAGAGGAAGAAGAGAAGACAGAAUUGGAAACAGCCGCGCCAGUCUACCGACCACCGUGUGUGUGUAUGUAAGUAUGUGAGAACACAUGUGUGAAUCCUCUUGUGAGAACUGCAAAAAGAAGAGAAAUAAAUAGUGUGAAGCAGCUAGGCCGCCGCAACCAAA